AAAAAUAAUACCAUCAGGAGCAUAUGUUGUACCGCUGACAUUGUACUCCGAAAGUUGUGGACCAUGCAAAACAGAAUGGACCACACAAAUCUUUGAGACGGACAUCAUAUUGGUAGUCAAAGUUCCAGUCUUGUCACUACAUAUAACAGUAGUGCAGCCUAAAGUCUCAACAGAUGGCAAAGACCUCACAAUUGCAUUCAGACGUGCCAUCCGUUUGGUGCCAAGAGCCAAACACGUUGUGACAACAGCAGGAA
rnacentral:misc_RNA from 1 species